rnacentral:rRNA from 1 species
AGAACGAACGCUGGCGGCAGGCCUAACACAUGCAAGUCGAGCGCUGUAGCAAUACAGAGCGGCGCACGGGUGAGUAACACGUGGGAACGUGCCUAUCGGUUCGGAAUAACUCAGGGAAACUUGAGCUAAUACCGGAUACGCCCCUUGGGGGAAAGAUUUAUCGCCGAUAGAGCGGCCCGCGUCCGAUUAGUUUGUUGGUGAGGUAAAAGCUCACCAAGGCAACGAUCGGUAGCUGGUUUGAGAGAACGACCAGCCACACUGGGACUGAGACACGGCCCAGACUCCUACGGGAGGCAGCAGUGGGGAAUCUUGGACAAUGGGGGAAACCCUGAUCCAGCCAUGCCGCGUGAGUGAUGAAGGCCCUAGGGUUGUAAAGCUCUUUUGUGCGGGAAGAUAAUGACGGUACCGCAAGAAUAAGCCCCGGCUAACUUCGCGCCAGCAGCCGC